rnacentral:rRNA from 1 species
GUGUCAGCAGCCGCGGUAACACGUAGGAGGCAAACGUUAUCCGGAUUUACUGGGCGUAAAGCGCGUGUAGGUGGUUCUGUAAGUAGGGCGUGAAAGCUCCUGGCUCAACUGGGAGAGGCCGUUCUAAACUGCAGAGCUAGAGGAUGGUAGAGGAAGGUGGAAUUCCGGGUGUAGCGGUGGAAUGCGCAGAUAUCCGGAGGAACACCAGUGGCGAAGGCGGCCUUCUGGACCACUCCUGACACUCAGACGCGAAAGCUAGGGUAGCAAACGGGAUUAGAUACCCCAGUAGUCC